UACAGAGGGGGCAAGCGUUGUUCGGAAUUACUGGGCGUAAAGGGCGCGUAGGCGGCCUUCUAAGUCGAACGUGAAAUCCCCGGGCUCAACCUGGGAAUUGCGCUCGAUACUCUUGUGCUUGAGUUCGGGAGAGGAGCGUGGAAUUCCCAGUGUAGAGGUGAAAUUCGUAGAUAUUGGGAAGAACACCGGUGGCGAAGGCGGCGCUCUGGACCGAGACUGACGCUGAGGCGCGAAAGCGUGGGGAGCAAACAGG
rnacentral:rRNA from 1 species